rnacentral:rRNA from 1 species
UACGGGGGGAGCAAGCGUUGUUCGGAUUUACUGGGCGUAAAGGGCGCGUAGGCGGCCACCGCAAGUCGACUGUGAAAUCUCCGGGCUUAACUCGGAAAGGUCAGCCGAUACUGCGGGGCUAGAGUGCAGAAGGGGCAACUGGAAUUCUCGGUGUAGCGGUGAAAUGCGUAGAUAUCGAGAGGAACACCGGUGGCGAAAGCGGCUCACUGGAUCUCUUCUGACGCUGAGGCACGAAAGCUAGGGUAGCGAACGGG